UCCGGCUUCCCGCCGGCAGUCUCCCGAGAGUCCCCGACUUUACUCGCUGGCAACACGGGACAAGGGUUGCGCUCGUUGCGGGACUUAACCCAACAUUUCACAACACGAGCUGACGACAGCCAUGCAGCACCUGUCACUCGGUUCCCGAAGGCACUCCGCCGUCUCCGGCAGAUUCCGAGGAUGUCAAGGGUAGGUAAGGUUCUUCGCGUUGCAUCGAAUUAAGCCACAUGCUCCGCCGCUUGUGCGGGUCCCCGUCAAUUCCUUUGAGUUUUAGCCUUGCGGCCGUACUCCCCAGGCGGGGUGCUUAAUGCGUUAGCUUCGGCACAGAAAGGGUUGAUGCUCCCCACACCUAGCACCCAUCGUUUACAGCGUGGACUAC
rnacentral:misc_RNA from 1 species